AUUAUUAAUCAAUAUUUUCAAUUCGAUAGUUUCAAUCAAUAUUAGCAUAGCCCAGUUAAGAAACUGUACCCCAAAGGGGUUACUGCAGGAUCAUACUCUUGCAAAGAGUGUGUCUGCAUGGUGCCUUUUACUCUACAAGUGAACAACGUAGCCUUUUGUUGGAAAGAUGGUGGUACUGAAAUCACUUAUGUCUGUUGGCCUUCUAACUACGAGGUAUAGCAACACUCCAUUCAAAGGGAACGUGAAAAGUAGUGCUGGUGUGGUGAUGAUGUCACAGAUAAGGGCUCUAUCUCGCCAGGCUUUGUCAAAGUCUCUGGAGCUAGUGACAGUUGACUCUGUCAAGGUGACUCA